rnacentral:rRNA from 1 species
GAUGAACGCUGGCGGCGUGCCUAAUACAUGCAAGUCGAGCGAACGGACGAGAAGCUUGCUUCUCUGAUGUUAGCGGCGGACGGGUGAGUAACACGUGGAUAACCUACCUAUAAGACUGGGAUAACUUCGGGAAACCGGAGCUAAUACCGGAUAAUAUUUUGAACCGCAUGGUUCAAAAGUGAAAGACGGUCUUGCUGUCACUUAUAGAUGGAUCCGCGCUGCAUUAGCUAGUUGGUAAGGUAACGGCUUACCAAGGCAACGAUGCAUAGCCGACCUGAGAGGGUGAUCGGCCACAAUGGAACUGAGACACGGUCCAGACGCCUACGGGAGGCAGCAGUAGGGAAUCUUCCGCAAUGGGCGAAAGCCUGACGGAGCAACGCCGCGUGAGUGAUGAAGGUCUUCGGAUCGUAAAACUCUGUUAUUAGGGAAGAACAUAUGUGUAAGUAACUGUGCACAUCUUGACGGUACCUAAUCAGAAAGCCACGGCUAACUACGUG